GACGAACGCUGGCGGCGUGCCUAAUACAUGCAAGUAGAACGCUGAAGAGAGGAGCUUGCUCUUCUUGGAUGAGUUGCGAACGGGUGAGUAACGCGUAGGUAACCUGCCUUGUAGCGGGGGAUAACUAUUGGAAACGAUAGCUAAUACCGCAUAACAAUGGAUGACACAUGUCAUUUAUUUGAAAGGGGCAAUUGCUCCACUACAAGAUGGACCUGCGUUGUAUUAGCUAGUAGGUGAGGUAAUGGCUCACCUAGGCGACGAUACAUAGCCGACCUGAGAGGGUGAUCGGCCACACUGGGACUGAGACACGGCCCAGACUCCUACGGGAGGCAGCAGUAGGGAAUCUUCGGCAAUGGGGGCAACCCUGACCGAGCAACGCCGCGUGAGUGAAGAAGGUUUUCGGAUCGUAAAGCUCUGUUGUAAGUCAAGAACGGGUGUGAGAGUGGAAAGUUCACACUGUGACGGUAGCUUACCCGAAAGGGACGGCUAACUACGUG
rnacentral:rRNA from 1 species